UUUUAAAAAUUUCAUCCAUUUGUAUUGUUAAAACUGGUGUGACUGACGAAAUAACAAAACAAUGACAUGUGACAUGCCACGUGUACCUCAUGCUGAUGUACAAGUACCAGUUUUAACAGUAGAAAUGGAUGAAAUGUUUAACA
rfam:Gossypium raimondii Chr04_contig_32, whole genome shotgun sequence.